ACGCUCGACACCUACGGGAGCAGCAGUGGGGAAUAUUGCACAAUGGGGGAAACCCUGAUGCAGCAACGCCGCGUGAGUGAAGAAGUAUUUCGGUAUGUAAAGCUCUAUCAGCAGGGAAGAUAAUGACGGUACCUGACUAAGAAGCUCCGGCUAAAUACGUGCCAGCAGCCGCGGUAAUCUGAGCGGGCUGGCAAGGC
rnacentral:rRNA from 1 species